rnacentral:rRNA from 1 species
GACGAACGCUGGCGGCGUGCCUAAUACAUGCAAGUAGAACGCACAGUUUAUACCGUAGCUUGCUACACCAUAGACUGUGAGUUGCGAACGGGUGAGUAACGCGUAGGUAACCUGCCUGGUAGCGGGGGAUAACUAUUGGAAACGAUAGCUAAUACCGCAUAAUAUUAAUUAUUGCAUGAUAAUUAAUUGAAAGGUGCAAUUGCACCACUACCAGAUGGACCUGCGUUGUAUUAGCUAGUAGGUGAGGUAACGGCUCACCUAGGCGACGAUACAUAGCCAACCUGAGAGGGUGAUCGGCCACACUGGGACUGAGACACGGCCCAGACUCCUACGGGAGGCAGCAGUAGGGAAUCUUCGGCAAUGGACGAAAGUCUGACCGAGCAACGCCGCGUGAGUGAAGAAGGUUUUCGGAUCGUAAAGCUCUGUUGUAAGAGAAGAACGGGUGUGAGAGUGGAAAGUUCACACUGUGACGGUAUCUUACCAGAAAGGGACGGCUAACUACGUG